CAAUACAACUUUCAGCAACGGAUCUCUUGGCUCUCGCAUCGAUGAAGAACGCAGCGAAAUGCGAUAAGUAAUGUGAAUUGCAGAAUUCAGUGAAUCAUCGAAUCUUUGAACGCACCUUGCGCUCUUUGGUAUUCCGAAGAGCAUGCCUGUUUGAGUGU
rnacentral:rRNA from 1 species